AUUGAACGCUGGCGGAAUGCUUUACACAUGCAAGUCGAACGGCAGCACGGGAGCUUGCUCCUGGUGGCGAGUGGCGAACGGGUGAGUAAUGCGUCGGAACGUGCCGAGUAAUGGGGGAUAACGCAGCGAAAGUUGUGCUAACACCGCAUACGCCCUGAGGGGGAAAGUGGGGGAUCGCAAGACCUCACGUUAUUCGAGCGGCCGACGUCUGAUUAGCUAGUUGGUGGGGUAAAGGCCUACCAAGGCGACGAUCAGUAGCGGGUCUGAGAGGAUGAUCCGCCACACUGGGACUGAGACACGGCCCAGACUCCUACGGGAGGCAGCAGUGGGGAAUAUUGCACAAUGGGCGAAAGCCUGAUGCAGCAAUGCCGCGUGUGUGAAGAAGGCCUGCGGGUUGUAAAGCACUUUCAGUAGGGAGGAAACAGUAGCCGGUUAAUAUCCGGUUGCCUUGACGUUACCUACAGAAGAAGCACCGGCUAACUCUGUGCCAG
rnacentral:rRNA from 1 species